UGACUCGAGACUACUGGAUGAGGUUGGAGAGCUUUAUGUCAAUGUUCAAUGGACAAUGGUUGUCCACUGGUCAGACUGGAUAACAGCCAAGGGUACUGUAAAAACAUUAUGACACUCAAGUUAGUCUAAGAACAACAAUGGGGAUAGGAGUGUAAGCAGAAAAGUGAACGUACUUGGGGUGAAACCCUUGUAAGUGCUUAUAUAGGCACUGCAGUCCUCUAGUAACUAAGAUAGUGGGUCACAUGCAUACCAUUUGGCAUGGUUAUGUUAUCAUCAUAGAUUAGUUUACAACCUAGACUGUUUAGUUAGGUGUAUGAGAGUCCCAGUCCUGGCCCAACAGGCUUGUACAGUCCAAUGAAGUCAUCAGACAUUAAAGCAUGGUGUUUGAAUCUCCACAAGAUAAUUUUCUCAAAAACCUGCUUUCACAGUUCCAAUAGUGGAUGUUAUUUUGGGUUUUUUUUAGUAAGAAUGUUGUGAGUGUUUUAUUACCAUGUGAAAUUAUUUCCGAAAAUAGAGGAUUGGGAAUUUCCAUAUUGAUGCAUGCUGAUUUACUGUAAUGUUUUGUUUACUUUACUACUAAUGAUUAUGCGGUUUGAUGAGUAAUUUCUGUUGUCCUAAGAUAGUAAUUUUGUUAGUUCAAGAAACAACGCAAUUUUUUUUUCUUGAUUCCCAUUCUUAAAUAUUUGCUGAACUAGAGAAGAGAUUCAAGAUUUUUCUACUCUUGCAGCUAAACCAGCAAAACUUGUGAAACAUUGUCAGAUGAGUGCCCCCUAUAACACCACAGUUCUUUAUCCAAGCAAGGGUGUGCACAUUCAUUGUUUCAAAGCCUAAACUGUUCCUUGCGCUCUCUUUGACGUUCUUUCCCCUCCUUACUCAUCAGAAGAUGGAAGACACUGCUCAUAUUUCAGGAAGUCAAGUAGGAAAGGUCUUCUAGAUCCUAGAGGAUAUUGUUAGCACUAACAGAUUAUGGAAUUAUCGUAACAAAAAGAUGCUUCCAUGGGGGACAGAAUAAUUCCUUAGCCAAUUAUCGCAUGGCAGAUCGGCUCCUUUUGUCGGGGUUAGUUACGAAAUCGCUUAGAGUAAUGUAAAUGCUUUGAAAGAUGUCAAGCUAGAGAAAGUCUCAAAUUUGAGGGAAGAGUCAUCAUUUUUUUGGCGAGAGAUUAAUGAUGGUACUUUGAGGUUUGAUAGGACAGAUAUGAGGUAUAUAUUUGUUUCUGUUCAUUACAUGAAUCGAAAUUAGGACUUAAAGUUCGAUAACUUUGACUUCAAAAUUGAAAUUGAGUUGAAAUUGGAUAACUUUAUUUAAUUAAUCAUCUUCUGCUUACUGCAUUUUUUUUUCGA